rnacentral:misc_RNA from 1 species
UAAUAAGUGUUUUAUGGCACUUUUUAAAUCCAUAUCCACCUUGUGUGCAAUGUCAGUCGAUCUUCUUCAUGGAGAUUGAUCCAAACAUCAACCUUUAUCUUUUAACUCUUUGUCUGAAAAAUAUUAUGAAUAAACAAUUCAAAAUA